GACGAACGCUGGCGGCGUGCUUAACACAUGCAAGUCGAACGAUGAACCGGAGCUUGCUCUGGGGAUUAGUGGCGAACGGGUGAGUAACACGUGGGCAACCUGCCCCAGACACCGGGAUAACCAUUCGAAAGGAUGGCUAAUACCGGAUACGACCACUUCGGGCAUCCGAUGGUGGUGGAAAGGAUUCUGGUCUGGGAUGGGCCCGCGGCCUAUCAGCUUGUUGGUGGGGUAAUGGCCUACCAAGGCGACGACGGGUAGCCGGCCUGGGAGGGCGACCGGCGAGACUGGGACUGAGACCCGGCCCGGACUCCUACGGGAGGCAGCAGGGGGGAAUAUUGCGCAAGGGGCGAAAGCCUGACGCAGCGACGCCGCGUGAGGGACGAAGGUCUUCGGAUUGUAAACCUCUUUCAGCAGGGAUGAAGCGAAAGUGACAGUACCUGCAGAAGAAGCACCGGCUAACUACGUGCCAGCCGCCGCCGUAAGAC
rnacentral:rRNA from 1 species